CCAUUUCUGGCCCCUGGGGGGAAUUGUUGUUGUUUAUUUCUUUUCAGAGGAUCAAGAUAGUAUGAACUUUAGGGAGUGCUGUAAUUUACUAGAGGGAAGGGAUACAAGACUCAGGACCCCAAGCAGUCGGUGGGAAACUAGAUCUCAAAGCAGAAAAUGAAAAGUCGAUCUGGGGUAAGAUUUUUAAAUAAGUGGGUCAGAGGGACCGAGAGGAGAUGAGGCGAUCAAUCUUAGCCCCCUGACAGCUCCCUCGGAUGGCAUCAAAGAAUUUGGCUCUUUGGGAAAGCAGAGGGAACAGCCGAAAUUCCACAUCCCUUUAAAAGGCCUGGGGGUGGGGGGUGUUAGCAAAAGAGAAAGGUGAUUCUGGGAGAGCAGGGAAACAGAUGGGAAAUGGGGACAGAGGAAGGGCGCUGGGUUGGGUGGAAAGUUUGUCUGGAGAACUCCCACGGCUCUGGCCUCCCCUCCCCCUCCUUGCUCGCCGCCUCCUAGCAAGAAGGAGAAGGCUGGUUAGCAGAGAAAUGGCAACUCGGCCGGGAGCUGGAACUAGAAACUUUCUGUCAAUGUAACAGACGCGUGGGUGGUGACCCAAUGGUGGUUGGGCUUCGGGUCACGUGACGACUUCUUUGUCGCCCCGGAAGAGAACUGUGAAGUUUAGGUUGCGUGAGAAUUGCCAGGAAAAAAAAAAUCAAGAUUUGGGGGAAUUACCCACAUAGACAGAAGGUGUGUUAACUUGGGCGCUUCUUGGAUUCUACCCUGAGGAGGCGCAUGGUGAGAGGAGAGGUCUGUGUAGGUGGGGUGGGGGUCGCAGGGUCCGUGGUGCUGGCUGGGGGCCAUAGGGGGUGCCCCGUUGUAGUCCAGGUUCCCCGAGGGGUGGUGGGAAAGGUGGUUGAGGCCGUAGAGGGAGGGGCCGGCAGGGGGCGGCAGCGGAUCCGCGUAGCCGCCCCCGCCCACGUACACCGGGCUGCCCUGCAUGGUGGGCGUCCCGUAGGCGCCCCCGUUGGCUUGGAGGACAUGAGGCUCGUAAUCGGGCGCCGGGGUCGGGGGGUACUUCUGAGGGGCGCCGCAGCCUUUGAGGGGGGGCUGGUAGUUGGAGGGCAGCGCAUAGGCAUUCUGGUGGGCUUUGCCGAAGGCGGGCGGGGACGGGCUCUCGUAGCUGGGGGUCAUGGAAUGCAAGGCGUUCAUGAAGCCGGCCGUGGACUGCAUGGGCUGCGGGGGGCUGCCAGCGGGGGAGGGGCCCCCCGAGGACGAGGCCAGGCCCUUGGCCUUCUGGUCCUUCUUGUACUUCAUGCGCCGGUUCUGGAACCAGAUCUUGAUUUGCCGCUCGCUGAGGUUCAGCAGGUUGGCCAUCUCCACGCGGCGCGGCCGGCACAGGUAGCGGUUGAAGUGGAACUCCUUCUCCAGCUCCACCAGCUGCGCGCUAGUGUACGCCGUCCGCGCCCGUUUGGACGCCGCCGACCCCGGGGGGCUCUUGUCCCCUCCCCCGCCGCCGCCGCCCCCGCCGCCGCCACUGCCUCCUCCGCCGCCGCCGCCGCCGCCGCAGCCCUCUGCUGGAUCCGCGGGGGAGGGGUGGGAAGGGGAGAAAAUGAAAUAAAAGAUAAUUACUGAACACGCCGAAA